ensembl:lncRNA
CGAGUUAUACAAAUCUUUGACCAAUCCAUUCACAAAAUAUAUACUGAACAAAAAUCUAAAUGCAACACGUAUAUUUUUGGUCAUAUUAUUUAUAAGCUGAGAAAGAAUAUAACGAAAUAUUCCAUAACACAGAAAAUAUCCCUCAAAUGUUGUGCACAAAUUGGUUUGUUCAGUGUACAAAAAUGUCAUAUCAUCCCUCAUUUGUGGGUUCUAGAUGAGCUGACAUUUCAAAGAUGUUCAGCUUGAUAUGUUUUACUUUUAUUUAAAAUCAGAACAGCAUAUACUGCAUGAAUCUCUUUAUUGUAAUAAGUGUAAACAUAAUUGCAAAUGGCUUAUGAAUGGUCAUGCAAAGCAAACCCUCAAAUAAUUUUUGUGUUUAAAUGUGUAUACCCUAUGUAUAUAGUUUGUCUUGUUUUUGUACACUGCAAUAUAAGAUUUUAAAACCAUUAUGCAAUGUGUGAAAUGACUCAUUAACUUGUUACUAGUCAAUUGCUUCAAAUUUACAAAACAUAUGCAGACUCUUCAACAUGUACAGGGGAAAGGCUAUAAACAAAGCAGGUUUGUUUAGUAUGCGAUUGCAGUUUCGCAAAAGAGCAAAAACUUACACUGGAAAGUUUAAUAAUGUAUUCAUCUCACAAGAAUACAACAUCUCAUAUAGGCCAUAGUGAAUAAUGGUGAAUAAAAAAAUAUGAUGGUACAUACUAAAAUGUUACUGCCUACCUAUGCUAAAAUCAUUACACAUACUUUGAGCUAUGCCACAUUUACAGUUUACAUCAUUCACUUCAAUCGUAAUUCUUUAAACAACUGUUAAAAAUGUAUUCCGGUGUUCAGCUAAGGCCCUGCAUAAGAAGUCAUUUGGUGCCAUCUUCUUUCAAUAUUCAAAGUCAGCAACAGUGCUUCAAUAGCAAUCAUACUGUGAUGAUACAUAUAUUAUACAUACACAGUACCAGUCAAAAGUUUGAACACAUCCACUUGACUGUGUAAAUACUCGGGUCGGCUCCAGACAUAUGCGACAGAAGCGGUCACUUAGGGCCCCCAACCACUAGGGGUCCUCCAACUGCUAGGGAGCCCCCAAACGUAAGGGGAAGGGGCCCAAAAUAAAACAUUUCUAUGGGCCCCCAAAAGGCUAGAGUUGGCAUUGUACAUACUUGUACUACUGUAUAUAAAACAGCAUUAAAACCCAAUCUAUUAUCUGAUUCCCCAGUCUUUAUAUAUAAUGCCCACUUUCCUGUGUUGCUGUAAGUGCCUCCUUGCCACCCUCUUGCAGUGGCAUGUUCACGUACUCCUCCUCCCUGGAAAGAGGAGCCUCAGAAUCAGCCUGUGAGGAACCUGUGGGGGUGCUGCUCGUAGGGGUGGAGCACAGCCCGUUUCCAAUGUUCACAGGAUAGUUAACGGUGAUGUUGACAUUAACCAGGGGGCUGGAUGGCAGGGAGCUGUUUGAUUGGCAGUUGCUGGGCUGGGGGGUGCUGACCAGGGUGCUGGGCUGUUGGAGGCUGGACUGGAGGGUGCUAGGCUGUUGGAGGCUGGACUGGAGGGUGCUAGGCUGGGGGGUGUUGACCGGGGUGCCAGGCUGUUGGAAGGUGGACUGGAGGGUGCUAGGCUGGGGGGUGUUGACCAGAGUGCCAGGCUGUUGGAAGGUGGACUGGAGGGUGCUAGGCUGGGGGGUGUUGACCAGAGUGCCAGGCUGUUGGAAGGUGGACUGGAGGGUGCUAGGCUGGGGGGUGUUGACCGGGGUGCCAGGCUGUUGGAAGGUGGACUGGAGGGUGCUAGGUUGUUGGAGGCUGGACUGGAGGGUGCUAGGCUGUUGGAGGGUGGACUGGAAGAUGCUGGGCUGUUGAAGUGGAGACAGGGGGUCUACUGACAGGCCCUCCAGGCUGUUGAAGCACCCUGAUCCCAUUGUAGUGCCCUGCAGGGUCUCUGGCUGACUGGCCUCGUUGCUGCCUCCCAGAAGAAACGUCUUUUCCUGACAGAUGGUUUUGAUUGAACUGUUGCAAACAACUAAUGGCCCAUCACUAUCAAA